rnacentral:rRNA from 1 species
UACGGGGGGAGCAAGCGUUGUUCGGAUUUACUGGGCGUAAAGGGCGCGUAGGCGGCCAGCACAAGUCAGUUGUGAAAUCUCCGAGCUUAACUCGGAACGGUCAACUGAUACUGUGCGGCUAGAGUGCAGAAGGGGCAACUGGAAUUCUUGGUGUAGCGGUGAAAUGCGUAGAUAUCAAGAGGAACACCUGCGGCGAAGGCGGGUUGCUGGGCUGACACGUGACGCUGGAGGCGCGAAAGCCUAGGGGAGCGAACGGG